AUGUCCUGAAUGGAAAGAUCCUUUUGGGAGCUUCUCAGGAGGGGGACCUGGGUCAAGGGCUUGACCAGCUUCUCCCUGGCAAUUCCAAGCCCCUGGGUGGGCUUC
ensembl:misc_RNA